rnacentral:rRNA from 1 species
AUGUGUGCUCCAAAAGACCAAGGAGGAAUGGGUUUCCGUGAUAUACACUGCAUUAACCUGGCCUUGUUAGCGAAACAAGCUUGGCGUCUCUUGGAUAAUCCUGAAUCGUUAUGUGCAACAAUCCUAAGAGCCAAGUAUUUCCUGGAGGGCGAUUUGAUGAGCGCAGUAGUAAAAAAGGGCUCCUCUUUUACUUGGCAAAGCAUUAUGGCGGGAGUG